rnacentral:misc_RNA from 1 species
GAUGAAGAACGUAGCGAAAUGCGAUACUUGGUGUGAAUUGCAGAAUCCCGUGAACCAUCGAGUCUUUGAACGCAAGUUGCGGCCGAAGCCAUUAGGCCGAGGGCACGCCUGCCUGGGCGUCACACGUCGUUGCCCCCCCAUCUACUCCUUCGGGAUUGCGGGGGGCGGAUGAUGGCCUCCCGUGCGCCUCGCCGCGCGGUUGGCAUAAAUGCCAAGUCCUCGGCGACGCACGCCACGACAAUCGGUGGUUGCGAAACCUCGGUUGCCCGUCGUGUGCGGUCGUCGCGCAUCGAGGGCUCGAAAAAAUUGCCGGGUUCCGGCUCGGCUUUCAACGCGACCCCAGGUCAGGCGGGGUUACCCGCUGAAUUUAAGCAUAUCAAUAAGCGGAGGA